CUUAUUGACUGUUAAAUAAAAUACUGUUUGGCCAAUGAGACAGCAAGUUAGACGGGACUAGGAGUCAAAGAGGAUUCUGGGAAAUGUAGUAGAGAAGUGGUGAUCCAGGCAGGAAGUGACAUAGCAAGGAGACUCAUAUUUAAGCGAAGGAGAAACAGGAAGGACUCUCCUUUCCCCUCGCCAGCAGCACAAUGUGAUCCAGCGACAAGGAGGGACACCAAUAAGGCUCUACACAAACAUCUGUGUCCACACUGGCCUCCUGGAGUUGUGAGUCUCAACUGAGUAGUGGCAAAAUCCUGAUGUUGACACUGGAAGAACACAUGAAACUCGCAGAUGAGUGACCAGGGGCCCUGAAAGUCAGCCCUGAAAUGCAAGGCGGCUCACAGCGAGGACGUGUAAACAAGGCGAAUGAACAGCUUGAGCAUUGAUUUAGUGUGUGACUUCCACGGCAGUGAGAUGUGAGAUCAUCAUUUGGCUUCUUUUGUUUCUGAGACAGGUUCUCUCCAGGUAGCCCAAGCCGGCUUUGAACUUGUAUAGUACAGAGUUCACGAUCUUCCUGGCUCAACCUUCCUGGUGCUAGAAUUACAGGCAUGCACUAAGAUCAGGUAGUUUUUGAGGACAAAAGUACCUUUUUAAUUAAAAUUUGGGUUUAUGUUAACUCAGGAGCUGAUCCUCAUUUAAAAACAGAAGUGACCAACAUCUAUCCUGCCAUGACAAUAGCAUCGCAACUAGCCAGUGAAC
rnacentral:lncRNA from 1 species